rnacentral:lncRNA from 1 species
UAAUUUUCCCUAAAUUUUUCCCGGGGAACUGAAACACACUAACAGUACCUGCACGUGUUCCAAAAAAAAUCCAAAUUAGGCCCAGGGCCCCUUUCGGACCAAAUCGCAACUCCGGCACGGCGGCUCCGCCCUGCUCCGGCGACGGCGCCGCCGCUGGCGGCGGCGAGUCGCCUCGGGUUGGCUGUUUUCGGCCGUUUUCGGCCGAAUUCGGCCACACUCGCAUUGGUCCUUGUCAGAAAACAACCCUAGGGCCCCCGGGGGGCCAAAAAUCACGGAAAAGCGGAGCUUACCGGCGGCGGCGCUCUCGGGUUCGGCGGCUCUCCGGCGAGGUUCGUGUUUUGGUGAUUCGGCUUCGGUCAACCUGUAGAGAAAAGAAUGGUGAUCACGGUGAUAUAAAAAUUGCAUCGAACGGAGGCCGGGAAGGACCUCGUCGGAGGCAAAAACCGAGAGGGACGCGGCGGCGCCGCUGGGUUUCGGCCGCGUAUUCCGGCCGUUUGGCCGGGAUUUCGGCCUCAAUUUGGCCAUAGGAGGAAUCAGCGGAGAAAAACGAGUCGGGGGUAUGAAAUUUACCUCGAUCGGCGGUCAGAAAUUUCCCCGGUGCGGCGACGGGUGGCGGCGGUCGGCCUCUGGUUCGUCUUCUCCGGCGAGCGGCGGGCGGCUAGGGUUUGUGGUCUGGUGUGGGGGUUCUAUUUAUAACCCCUUGCCUUUUGAUCACAGCUGUUCAUUUCGUUUUAAUCUGGGCCGUUCGUUUUUGAUUGAAUCUGGGCCGUC